AAAAGGGGGGACAAAAUUCCCCUUAAGGCACAAAACAGUGAGCCACCGCGAUGGCUCCAUGCCACAGACCUUAUCCUCCGCGAUAGGGUCCAUGUCACGGACCUUAUCCUCCGCGAUAGGGUCAGUGUCACGCUUAGAGAGAAUUUGCAAAUGCAAAUUUCAGUAGCUCUCCGUGAUAGCCCUAUUCCAUGGAGCCUAUUGCAGAGACUAAGCUCCGUCACACAGAGGAGUAAAUUUUUUGGGUUUUUAUUUUAAAAGGUCGGAUUUUACCCGUGCCCACCCCUUAUAACUCGAAUUCACCCCUUAGUUCCCCUAAAUCCCUAAAUUAUCUCCCCAAUUUCCCAACCUAACAUGCCACUCUCCUUAUUUCUCCAAAUUCCCCCAAGCAUGUCACGCCUCAAGCACCAAAAUAAAGAACUCCUCUUCUCUUUGAAAUCUCGACACAGGUAAUAUGGACAGUAGACAGCAAAAAGGGCAGGAUAUUACUGGCCCAUCUGAGCCUUCCUAAAAGAGAAACAGGCCGACAGGCUGGGUACCGAGAGCUCCUGCAGUUCCCCGUGGUCAGUCACAGAUAUAUGGAACUAGAUGGGUAGAAGAAGCCGGAAAGAAAUGGUAUGCAAAGCACAAUGAGACCAAAUAUGCCCCCGAUGAGUUCAUAAAUCGGGCAAGAUUACCGAGUGAGUACCCUAGCAUGGUACGGAGGUUGGAGCAGCUACACAUGAAUUUCCUAUUUGAGCAGCCCACAAAGUGAAAGUUGUACCUUAUUAGAGAAUUUUAUGCCAACUGGACUCAGGGAUCCCGAUUCUAAAGUAAAAAUCCGUGGACAAGUAGUGACUUUUUCGACCCAUGAUUUGAAUGCAAUCUCAGGUACUCCAGAGGCAGAUUCAUUAACUCAGAGGCAGCUAAACAUUGCCCCACCGUAUGCCGACAUCAGACAUCUGUUAUACAGCAAUAGAUCGACCGUUAGGUGGGUUCAUCACGGAGAGAGCGGCCUCUACCUGAUAUUCCCAUAUGCCCAAAUAAAUAGGAAGGCACACAUGUAGUUGAAAAUGAUCUGUCAUUUUCUUAUUUCGGGCAAGCACAUGACAGAUGUUACUCGUGAUAAGGUCUGCCUGAUUUAUUCUCUGAUGCGGGAUGAUAUUAAUAUCAAUGUGGGUCCUGUUAUCCUUUCCUCGAUAAAGAAGGCACGCUACCAUCAGGAGUGCAGAUAUAGAUUCGGUGGGUUGUUGACCAGGUUUUUAUGGAGUCACGAGAUUGAGGAGGAGGCGCUAGAUUACAGACCAUUGGUGGACACACUCCCCAUAGAUGUGACCUGGACUAAGGGAUUGGAUGUAGCUCGUGGUCCAGUGCUUACUUUGCUCGAGCGUCAUGUUUGGGAUGAUGAUAUCACAACCCGUACGUAUGGGUUACAGAUGCUGCAGCUGAGAGUAGGUGGGUGACCAGCCAUGAGGAAGGAGAUUUAUGUGGAAGAGCUAGAUUACCCACUUGGUCAUCAUGCCCAGACAUUGCAGAGGAUAGGCCCAGAUUUUGUAGAGCCUGUUGAUGAUGACGUGCCCACAAACGAGGAGUGACAGAUGAGAAAUUCGGAUAUAGAGUCAGCGAAGGAAGAAGCAGUGGACCCAUAUUUGAAAGCAGAGGAAUGCGGUCCAUAUGUCGAUGAUAACAUGGAUGAUCCCUGAUUAGGGAGUGCUACACCACCUCAUUACUUGGUUAUGUCUGCAAGCACUAAGGGCAGUACUAUAUUUUAAGUAUGGGUGGUGGUUCUUAUUCUUCACACCUUUCAUUUGCUACUUCUAUCUUUUUGUUAUUUGUGGAUAUUUAUCUAUUGUUGAUGUGUCUUUUAUUGACAUUCUAACUAUUUGGUCUGUAAUAGUUAGUAAUUAUGAUAUUUUCUAACUUGGUAAUUCAUAGUAGUUUCUUUA